rnacentral:rRNA from 1 species
GACGGAGGGUGCAAGCGUUAUCCGGAAUCGCUGGGUUUAAAGGGUGCGUAGGCGGCUGUAUAAGUCAGAGGUGAAAGCCCGGAGCUUAACUUCGGAACUGCCUUUGAUACUGUAUAGCUUGAAAUAGGUUGAGGUCAGCGGAAUGUGGCAUGUAGCGGUGAAAUGCAUAGAUAUGCCAUAGAACACCAAUUGCGAAGGCAGCUGGCUGGACCUUAUUUGACGCUGAGGCACGAAAGCGUGGGGAGUGAACAGG